UCGUUACAAGCAUAAUGCUUUUAAUUAGCCUUAUAUUGUUUUAUUUUAAUCGAUAUUAAGGUUAAUAAGUCUCGGCUGAUAUUUAUAUUAAUGGGAAUCAAACGCAUGAUAUUUUGAUUUUGAGAAUAAAUUAAUAAGAGAUAUCAACUACGGUCCAUCAAAUUUGUCAAAACAACGAGAAACUGCAAUUUGCCAUUUCUUAAUAAACCAACUCCAGCCUAAACAAAGGCAGGGAUGUAUAGAUUAAAAUCAUCCAAAAAGAAGGAAAAAGAGAACUACAUAUUUCACAAAAUUGACUAUACAAAGUUGUAGCGAAUAACAACUAGUGAUUAUUUCCACAACUUGAUUGAUCCUCUUCAAUCUUCAUAAGCUGAAGCCUCUUCAAAAGAGGCUUCAUAAUUGAUCCUGCAACAUUUGCUACUACUUGAGAAGGGUAUUCAUGGAAGCUUCAUCAUCCUCAGCAACUUCUUCUGUGAUGGUCUCCAAAGCAGGCGAAUUAGAAGGCUUUGUUGGGAAAAUUAUUGGUGCCGGGGCAACCUCCAUCCACGAACUUAGGUUUCUGAUUCCCUUAGCCAUAUUGAUGAAUUCAACAACAAAAUAUGUGACUUUUUCUGCUCCUUAAUUUGCUGAAUCUUUGAAAUAGAAACAAUUCUUCUCUCCUCCUCCUAUGUCUAGAAAUAAGAGACCUUGGUUGGUCACAAGAGUAUUUCAAAAAAGGGUUUUAAUAUGGUUUGUGAGACACAACCAAGACCCUUGUGUGUAUUUAUAUGCAAAAAAAGGUUAGUGUGGGAGGUAAGAAUAAAGAGCUAAAAUCACGAGUUUUUAGGAGGAGAUAUCUUGAGAUUAAGACCACCACACAUAUUGCUGAUAUACAAGUGAGAAUAAAAUCAAAAGUGAUUCUUGACAUAUUCGUAGGAAGCUUCCAGGAAAAAUUAGUAGGAGUGUGGUGCGUAAUUCAAUGCCUUCCGUCCAAAUAUUCUAAAAUUAAUUAAUUGCCUGUUGUAGAGGGAAAAGAAAUGGUCAGCAACUCCUCCUUUUUCUCUUCUCCAUCAACUUGCGUUACAUGUGCAACUUAUAUUUAUGUUUAGAGUUGAAUGACA
rnacentral:lncRNA from 1 species